AUUGAACGCUGGCGGCAGGCUUAACACAUGCAAGUCGAGCGGAGAUGAGGUGCUUGCACCUUAUCUUAGCGGCGGACGGGUGAGUAAUGCUUAGGUAUCUGCCUAUUAGUGGGGGACAACAUUCCGAAAGGAAUGCUAAUACCGCAUACGUCCUACGGGAGAAAGCAGGGGAUCUUCGGACCUUGCGCUAAUAGAUGAGCCUAAGUCGGAUUAGCUAGUUGGUGGGGUAAAGGCCUACCAAGGCGACGAUCUGUAGCGGGUCUGAGAGGAUGGUCCGCAACACUGGGACUGAGACACGGCCCAGACUCCUACGGGAGGAAGCAGUGGGGAAUAUGGGACAAUGGGGGGAACCCUGAUCUAGCCAUGCCGCGUGUGUGAAGAAGGCCUUAUGGUUGUAAAGCACUUUAAGCGAGGAGGAGGCUACUGAGACUAAUACUCUUGGAUAGUGGACGUUACUCGCAGAAUAAGCACCGGCUAACUCUGUGCCAGCCGCCGCAGUAAAAC
rnacentral:rRNA from 1 species